AGCGAACGCUGGCGGCAGGCCUAACACAUGCAAGUCGAACGAAGUCUUCGGACUUAGUGGCGGACGGGUGAGUAACACGUGGGAACGUACCUUUUGGUUCGGAACAACUCAGGGAAACUUGAGCUAAUACCGGAUGAGCCCUUAGGGGGAAAGAUUUAUCGCCGAAAGAGCGGCCCGCGUUAGAUUAGCUAGUUGGUGAGGUAAAGGCUCACCAAGGCUACGAUAUAUAGCUGGUCUGAGAGGAUGAUCAGCCACACUGGGACUGAGACACGGCCCAGACUCCUACGGGAGGCAGCAGUGGGGAAUCUUGCGCAAUGGGCGAAAGCCUGACGCAGCCAUGCCGCGUGAAUGAUGAAGGUCUUAGGAUUGUAAAAUUCUUUUACCAGGGACGAUAAUAACGGUACCUGGAGAAAAAGCCCCGGCUAACUUCGUGCCAGCCGCCGCCGUAACAC
rnacentral:rRNA from 1 species